rnacentral:rRNA from 2 species
ACAUGCAAGUCGAACGAACUCUGGUAUUGAUUGGUGCUUGCAUCAUGAUUUACAUUUGAGUGAGUGGCGAACUGGUGAGUAACACGUGGGAAACCUGCCCAGAAGCGGGGGAUAACACCUGGAAACAGAUGCUAAUACCGCAUAACAACUUGGACCGCAUGGUCCGAGUUUGAAAGAUGGCUUCGGCUAUCACUUUUGGAUGGUCCCGCGGCGUAUUAGCUAGAUGGUGGGGUAACGGCUCACCAUGGCAAUGAUACGUAGCCGACCUGAGAGGGUAAUCGGCCACAUUGGGACUGAGACACGGCCCAAACUCCUACGGGAGGCAGCAGUAGGGAAUCUUCCACAAUGGACGAAAGUCUGAUGGAGCAACGCCGCGUGAGUGAAGAAGGGUUUCGGCUCGUAAAACUCUGUUGUUAAAGAAGAACAUAUCUGAGAGUAACUGUUCAGGUAUUGACGGUAUUUAACCAGAAAGCCACGGCUAACUACGUGCCAGCAGCCGCGGUAAUACGUAGGUGGCAAGCGUUGUCCGGAUUUAUUGGGCGUAAAGCGAGCGCAGGCGGUUUUUUAAGUCUGAUGUGAAAGCCUUCGGCUCAACCGAAGAAGUGCAUCGGAAACUGGGAAACUUGAGUGCAGAAGAGGACAGUGGAACUCCAUGUGUAGCGGUGAAAUGCGUAGAUAUAUGGAAGAACACCAGUGGCGAAGGCGGCUGUCUGGUCUGUAACUGACGCUGAGGCUCGAAAGUAUGGGUAGCAAACAGGAUUAGAUACCCUGGUAGUCCAUACCGUAAACGAUGAAUGCUAAGUGUUGGAGGGUUUCCGCCCUUCAGUGCUGCAGCUAACGCAUUAAGCAUUCCGCCUGGGGAGUACGGCCGCAAGGCUGAAACUCAAGGGAAUUGACGGGGGCCCGCACAAGCGGUGGAGCAUGUGGUUUAAUUCGAAGCUACGCGGAGAACCCUUACCAGGUCUUGACAUACUAUGCAAAUCUAGAGAUUAGACGUUCCUUCGGGACAUGGAUACAUGUGUGCAUGUUGUCGUCAGCUC